rnacentral:tRNA from 1 species
GGAGAUGUAAGCCUAACGGUAAGGCAGCGGUUUGCUAAACCGCUAGUAAGCGCCAUACGGCGCUGUGCAGGUUCGAGUCCUGCCAUCUUCGCCA